GACGAACGCUGGCGGCGUGCCUAAUACAUGCAAGUAGAACGCUGAGGAGAGGAGCUUGCUCUUCUUGGAUGAGUUGCGAACGGGUGAGUAACGCGUAGGUAACCUGCCUUGUAGCGGGGGAUAACUAUUGGAAACGAUAGCUAAUACCGCAUAACAAUGGAUGACACAUGUCAUUUAUUUGAAAGGGGCAAUUGCUCCACUACAAGAUGGACCUGCGUUGUAUUAGCUAGUAGGUGAGGUAAUGGCUCACCUAGGCGACGAUACAUAGCCGACCUGAGAGGGUGAUCGGCCACACUGGGACUGAGACACGGCCCAGACUCCUACGGGAGGCAGCAGUAGGGAAUCUUCGGCAAUGGGGGCAACCCUGACCGAGCAACGCCGCGUGAGUGAAGAAGGUUUUCGGAUCGUAAGGCUCUGUUGUAAGUCAAGAACGGGUGUGAGAGUGGAAAGUUCACACUGUGACGGUAGCUUACCAGAAAGGGACGGCUAACUACGUG
rnacentral:rRNA from 1 species